UUUACAUUUUGACUCAUUUUCAUCUUUUCCUUUGCCCGUAUUAUUUUUACUUUUUCUCCCAAGUGCUUAUCUUCCACGAUGCUUGUAAAACCUAUGCUUCAAAUCUUCGUCUCGAAUAAGAAAAGACAUUUUCACGUUGCGAAUCUUCGUCUGAAACCAAUUUCGCUCUUCGAUUGUGCAUCUCUCAAUCACAACGUUCAAUUAAUAGCUCCAAUAUAUUUUUCAUUGUGCAUGAAGCAAGGAAUGGGCUUGUUAGAGAAUUCAUUGUAUAGGCAAUUUGUUCAACACAAUAAUGUGUUGCUUAAGAACAUUGAAAUAUUCCACUUGUAUGAGCUUGAUGGUAUUAGUUCAAACAUUAUGAAGAUUGCUGGAGUAUACCACUAGAAGGAUGGUCAUAAGGGUGUUGGGGUAUUUUGGCUUCAACAAGCCCAAGAUUCUAUUUGUCUUGAUAGGAUUGCCCAACAGUUAUUUGAUUCUGUUGGAAAGUCAAUAUUUGAUGAAAGCUUCAAGCAAUGGGAAGGCAUGAUUGAACUACUAAGUUCUGAAUCUAAGCCUGUUGGGGGUCUUGAGUUUUUGCACAAGUAUAAGGAUUUCAAGGAAUCCCUUCAGAAGGUAUCUGGUGGAAAAUCAACUAAGCUAGCCAGGCAAGUUGUAGGCUCCCUCAUGCUGAAGGGAACUACUAUGAGCCUAGAAGCAACUUACAUAGAGUGGAAGAGCUUGAGCUUGCUUGGAGAGGAUGGGGAACCAAACCCUAACAGAGUUUGCUGUUGGGAAGCAAGGAGAGCGUGAGAACGAAUGUUUUCUGAAAGUGAGUGAAACUAGAGUGUUAGGGCAAAUUAGGAUCUUUGGCUCCCUAUGGGCCAACCCUAGGUCCAACUGAUUUGGGGCAGCCUUUCUAAAUUAGAGCAGAAAAUAAAAAGAGGGUUUUACAAUAACUAUUAUUAUAAUUAUUGUUA